rnacentral:sRNA from 1 species
AGUUCAGUUUCUAUCCAACGUUUCCUGACAGCGGUCGGUUGCCAAUAACGCAAAUUUCAAAGACGUUUUUGAUAUUUCGGCAAUUCGUGCAGGGAAACGUUGAACGGGAAAUUCUACUCAAUUGCGAUAAAUAAUAUUAAACAUUUCAGUGACGCGUAACAUUUAGACGAGUGAAACCGCGGUUCCAGAAUUAAAUCGUUGUUGCGAUAAGUUCUGAACGUAACGCUUGAACGAUUUCGGUUGAAUUGAAACGUGUCCAUAGAACCGAGGACACAUCAACCCUUAGCCACCAAAUCCGGCAACUACAACAACCUGACAAACCAUUUCUCUGACAAACAGCUCGCUCGUAAACAGUUGUUUGCCAGAGUUUGCAAUUCCAAGGCAAAAGGAAAAAACGCGAAAACCGGCAAAUUUUCGUGUUCACAACUUUUGCAUUCAAGGCUGCUGAAGUGACGGGACCCCGACCUACGAAGUUUUUUUUUUCGAACGUGUAACACAUAACGUUAACGGCAAAUAACGUUAUUGUGUUCUGGAAUAUUACAAACAGAAUUAGCACUGUUUUGUAAUUAUAAAAAGAAGGAGAGAGAAGGAACGAGAGAGAGAGAGAGAGCACGCGGGAGAGCAGCAGCCUGUUAUUCCACAACCAUAACACAUUGAGUACAACAUUUGGAAUACUCUUUUACCAAACUUCAGCAACUACCCGGCAAACAAGUAGUAGCAUAGACACUUGUUACCAUCGUUUUGUAUAUAUAGCUUGGCGGUAUAUAUAUACAUACGUAUAAACGUAAAUAAAAAACAAACAAAAAAAAAAAACGCGAAUUUAACCAGUUUUUUGACAUUUGCAUUCGUUACGUUUUCAAGUAAUUAUAACGUAAACGUAAGACAUUUACCAGAUUUUGAAAAUUCCGACAUUGGUAUAUAUAACUUGGCGGAUUAUAUAUACUAAAAAAAAGAAAUAAAUAAAUAAAAUACUAAUUUUUUGGACACUUACGUUCAGAACGUUUUAAUAAAAUCGUAACGUUGACGUAAACCAAUCAACCGUUAUCGGCUUAAUAAACGAUUGUAUAUAUUUCUUGGCGGUUUAUAUAUACAAAUCAAAUAAAUUCAACUAAUUUUGGACACUUACGUUCUAUACGUAACGUAAACGUAAGAUAAAUACCCGAUUUUUACAAUUAAAAAAAAAAAACCUAAAAGAGCGUAUAUAACUUGGCGGUUUAUAUACAACUUAAGAAAAAAAUAAAAAAAAAUUGGCAAAAUUUACCUUCGAUAUCUUCCAACAAAAUCGUAACGUAAACGUAACAGUAAUUACCGGAAUUGACAU